UACGUAGGGUGCAAGCGUUGUCCGGAAUUAUUGGGCGUAAGGAGCUCGUAGGCGGUCUGUCGCGUCGAAUGUGAAAACCCGGGGCUCAACCCCGGGCCUGCAUUCGAUACGGGCAGACUAGAGUUCGGUAGGGGAGACUGGAAUUCCUGGUGUAGCGGUGAAAUGCGCAGAUAUCAGGAGGAACACCGGUGGCGAAGGCGGGUCUCUGGGCCGAUACUGACGCUGAGGAGCGAAAGCGUGGGGAGCGAACAGG
rnacentral:rRNA from 1 species